UCCUACGGGGGGCAGCAGCGAGGAAUAUUGGUCAAUGGACGCAAGUCUGAACCAGCCAUGCCGCGUGCAGGAAGACGGCUCUAUGAGUUGUAAACUGCUUUUGUACGAGGGUAAACGCAGAUACGUGUAUCUGUCUGAAAGUAUCGUACGAAUAAGGAUCGGCUAACUCCGUGCCAGCAGCCGCGGUAAUACGGAGGAUUCAAGCGUUAUCCGGAUUUAUUGGGUUUAAAGGGUGCGUAGGCGGUUUGAUAAGUUAGAGGUGAAAUGUCGGGGCUCAACCCCGAAACUGCCUCUAAUACUGUUGG
rnacentral:rRNA from 1 species